GUCAUCCAUUAUCAUUUCUAUUUUGGUGUCAUCUACUCUUUCUUGGUUCUUCAAUCUCUUCAUCUAAAAGAUGGUAAAUUUCUCACCAGGUAUUGUCCGCUUGAUGAAACCUUUUAAUUCACAACCACUCCACCCUUUCUUUGGUGGAGACGAGACACUUCAUGGACCAGUGGUGAUUGGUGUGAGUUGGAGUUAAUUGAUUAGCACGAAAUUAAUAAAGAGUCGCAGACAAAUAGAAUAUGUACGUGAUAAUGAAUGCAACAUUUGGACUAGCAGAAGAGAAGGUGAAAACAAAUGCAUUUCUAAGGCAAUGCACUCGGAUAUGAGAAAUCCGACCGGUUGGCCAUAGAUUCCAACCAGAGAUGAAGGCAGCGGUGGAGGUAAUGACGAGGCCGAUCUGAAUUGACGAGGCCGAUCUGAAUUGAGGAAUUUGAGGUACUAAAUUGAGGAAUUUUCAUAGCGGGUGAGAGAAGAGAGAGUACAAAGGAGAAAAUAAAUAAAUAUGAGGUCGGAUGACAGUGUUCAGACGGGUUAGGCUGGCGGUGGUUCUCCACCGAGAUUGUAACACAAGAGAGAUAGAGAGAGUUUAAGGGAGAUGGGGGAGGCGGUUAGGCUAUAGUACGAAGAUAAAAGAGGAAGAGAGGAAAAAGUUAUUUUAGGGUUAGAAAUCACUUAGAGAGGAUAUUUGCUAUAAAACCCAAUAUGCAGUUAUGUAUUAUAAUUAGUUUAAAGUGUAUUUAUUUAUGAUAAAUAUAAUGUAUAAUUUAAUUAUACCAUGUAAAAUUUUCUACUUUCUAUACCGAAAUUAUUGUCGUUUUGUACCUCAGUUUUCUACAAAAUGACCUCCUAUAGCCAAUUACAGUUUGAACAUAAGAAAAAGACCUACAA